rnacentral:rRNA from 1 species
GUGUCAGCAGCCGCGGUAAUACGUAGGGACCAAGCGUUGUUCGGAUUUACUGGGCGUAAAGGGCGCGUAGGCGGCAAUUCAAGUCAGCUGUGAAAUCUCCGGGCUUAACUCGGAACGGUCAGCUGAUACUGCUUUGCUAGAGUGCAGAAGGGGCAAUCGGAAUUCUUGGUGUAGCGGUGAAAUGCGUAGAUAUCAAGAGGAACACCUGAGGUGAAGACGGGUUGCUGGGCUGACACUGACGCUGAGGCGCGAAAGCUAGGGUAGCAAACGGGAUUAGAAACCCCCGUAGUCC